rnacentral:rRNA from 1 species
GAGUUUUCGAUCCUGGACGUCACGAACGAACGCUCGACGGGCAGGCCUAACACAUGCAAGUCGAACGCAUCCUUCGGGGUGAGUGGCGCACGGGUGAGUAACACUGGGAAUGUGCCUUGUUCGGAAUACGUCUGGAACGACGCUAAUACCGGAUGUCCCCUGCGGGGAAAGAUUUAUCGCCAAAGGAGCAGCCCGCGUCUGAUUAGGUAGUUGGUGGGGUAAAGGCCUACCAAGCCGACGAUCAGUAGCUGGUCUGAGAGGAUGAUCAGCCACACUGGGACUGAGACACGGCCCAGACUCCUACGUGAGGCAGCAGUGGGGAAUAUUGGACAAUGGGCGCAAGCCUGAUCCAGCCAUGCCGCGUGAGUGAUGAAGGCCUUCGGGUUGUAAAGCUCUUUCGCACACGACGAUGAUGACGGUAGUGUGAGAAGAAGCCCCGGCUAACUUCGUG